rnacentral:rRNA from 1 species
UACGGGGGGGGCAAGCGUUGUUCGGAAUUACUGGGCGUAAAGCGCACGUAGGCGGAUUGCUAAGUCAGGGGUGAAAUCCUGGAGCUCAACUCCAGAACUGCCUUUGAUACUGGCAACCUUGAGUCCGGGAGAGGUGAGUGGAACUGCGAGUGUAGAGGUGAAAUUCGUAGAUAUUCGCAAGAACACCAGUGGCGAAGGCGGCUCACUGGCCCGGUACUGACGCUGAGGCACGAAAGCGUGGGGAGCAAACAGG